rnacentral:rRNA from 1 species
GAACCGACCUGGCUCACACCGGUUUAAACUCAGAUCAUGUAAAAUUCUAAAGGUCGAACAGACCUAAUCUAUUAGCUUCUACACCAACAAUUAAUUUUAAUCCAACAUCGAGGUCGCAAUCUAUUUUUUCGAUAAGAACUCUAAAAAAAAUUACGCUGUUAUCCCUAAGGUAAUUUAAUCUUGUAAUCUACAUACUAGGAUCAUAAAUAUACAAAUAAAUAUUACUUAAUAAAGAAAAGUUAAAUUAAUUUUCCUAUCACCCCAACAAAAUAAAUAAUAAUAAAAUUUAAACAAAUAAAACCUCAUACCUAAAUAUCACACAAUUUAUAAAACUCUAUAGGGUCUUCUCGUCUUCUAUACAUAUUUAAGCUUUUUUACUUAAAAAUAAAAUUUUAAUAAAAUUCAAUUGAGACAGUCACUCCCUCAUCAAACCCUUCAUACAAGCUUUUAAUUAAAAAACUAAUGAUUAUGCUACCUUUGCACGGUCAAUAUACCGCGGCCAUUUAACUAAUCAGUGGGCAGGUCCGACUUGAAAUUAUCAUCAACAAGACAUGUUUUUAAUA